GCAGUGAGGAACAGCCGCUGUCACAUUCAGUGCUGCUGCACCAGCUGCCAGGCACAGGAGGGGCUGCAGUCACCUGACUGCUCUGAGGAACUCACAUUUGUUGUGUGGCAGAGCCUCCCCAGCUGCAAUGCAGCUGCUGCUGCUCACUCCUGAAGCACGAGCCUGAAGAAGGAGAGAGGUAGAACAGCUGUGUCCCAGGUAGCUUCUCUUCCCAGGAAAGUGUAGUGAGUAGAGUUUUAGAGCUUGGAGCCUCUACCUGGGGAAGGAAAGCAACAGCUAAACAUCAUCUAAAAGCACAAUAUAAAAGGAGCAUUCCAAGUAGCUCCCCAGGUUUUUGGAUGCAUGGGAGGCAGCACGUCAGGUUGCAGACACACUGGCUGCGCUGGCUGCAGCACAUUCAGGGGAGCUGCAUGACCCUACAUGUCUGUGCCUCAGCAGGAAAAUGCUCUUGGUACUGUCCCAGGGAACAGAGCUGGCUGCAGCAACAGAGGAAGGAAUCUGUGAAACUUCAUUUAGCCCAGCUGGCUGUUAGAGCUUUCAAGCCUUUCCCAUGGCAGUUUCUUCCAACAGACUUCAGGUCACUUCAGACGUACAGGGCAGAAGAGAGAAAUUCUUCUCAAACCUUGUGGCAGUUCAAGAAAUUAUAAGUUUUAGCAGUGCAGCUCUUGCACCUGGUGUGGGGCCUUCCCAGAUUUACAGCAAUCUCACAUUAACCACCCCUCUACCCCCCACAAGCAAACCCCACACCAUGGUGGAGGGGAGAAAGAAGCCCAUAGAGGGUUUCCAUCACUCUUGGGGCUGAGUGGGUAAGGGAAGUGUGGCACAGGUCUGGUUGUGAAGCCUGGACUACAUGAAAGCUACUUGUCAGUUUUGCCUCUAAUAACUCCUUGAAUUCCUACUGCUAAAUGGGAUGACUAAAAGUGAUGGUGCAAACAAGCACUUAAAAGAAAACUAUAGUGAAGAGGGUGCUCAUCAUACUCAUGAUUUUGAAUAGUUUAUUAAAUGAAAGGUGAAGCAUCAGUUUUAAAUUGUACAAAAGGAAAAAAAAAAACCUCAUAUUGUAAAUGUACAAUUUACAGAAUUACUAGCAAAACCAAUCAAGGAGACACUCAUAAUACAAAAACCUAUUGACUGCAAACUGAACUGGAGACCCAUUGCAGGUACCAUGAUAAUAAAUGUUUGUUAUACAGUAUUCUACAAUGUUAAAUUAGGAAUCAGUUUUCCACACAGAGGACUGUGAAGCACAAGGUUUGUCUGAGACUCUGACUCAAACUGGGCAGCAUCUGUUGUGCCACCAUGCUCACAGAGUGAUCCUGGGACAGGUCCUGCAGCCAUUCCUGCCCCCAGGCCGUGGGGGUGCACAGAGGGAGGUAACAGGGUUUAUAAAGUUCCAGCUACUUCUUGAGAUCAAUACAUCCCCAACCCACACUAAGGAAUGGCUGAAUUACCUGGUCAAACAUUUUUGGCAACCGUGUCUGAGAACUGCACGUGUUGUGAGAGCCAAGCUCAGCUGGGUGAGGUGCUGGGCUGGGUGAAUCUGGGCUCUUUCCCUGCCCAUGCUGGGCACUGAGGGGUUGGGCUGGUGUUCAGUAAGUUUGAAACAGAAAAAAGCUCCAUGAUUAUGCUGCAGUUGCUAAAACUAAAGCACCUCUGAAACUGCUGUGCUCCAAGUGGGUCAGUCUGCUUUGUAUCUCAACUGCUACUGAGUGCAGAAAGAUGAACAGUUUGGGGCCAGUUGUUGGAGAUCUGGAGCUGUGGAGGGCCAGCACUGCUGGUGCCAGGCCAGGCUGGGUAAGGAGCAGCUACUACAUCGAGUCAUAAAAUUGAAGUGUAAUGAAAUUCCAAAUUAUUGAAGACAUCGAAAAAUAUCUUAGUACAAUGAAUUAGCUGAGAAUGUUUUGGGGUUUUUUGGAAAUUUUUUUUCAUGUUUUUAGCUUUUUUGAAAAAUCAUAUUUUUUUCCAAAGAAUUACUCUCAAUAUGCACAGUUAACACUGAAAAUGUAGCUGUAUUCCAUUGUAAGCUUAAGAACUUCACCAUCUAAGCACAAAUUUCUAUGCAGCACAUACAGUACUUCUAACUGGCAAAAUUAAUUUACAAAAAUAGCAGAAAAGGGUAUUUACGGCAUGGAAAGUAGACUCUGUUUUAUGGUACAGUUAAAAUUACUUUUAGUAUGCUAAAGUGAUCCUUUCCCCCACCCUUGAACUAUUUUUUUUAAUAGGAAAGUUGCUGUUUAUGUACCUUGUGUUGGCAGGCUUGAAGUAGGUAGUAAAAACAGCAAAGUGAUUACUUGAGAACCGUUUGUGUGUUUUACUGAGAAUACUUUAUUUGCUGGUAUAAGUUGCUAAAAAUGCACAGAGCAAGUACCAAUAGAAAAUUUACUGUUUUUGUGUCCCCAUGUGCUAUAUAAAAUGAAUGUUACACAGCAUCUGUUGGAAAAGUGGCUUCAUGGACAUCUCUUACUUUAUGUCCCAUUAUAAAUAAAAAUAAAUCUUCUCAAGAGUAUAAAAUCUGGGUUUAUCAUAUCAGAAUCUGAAAUUUUUUGGCAGAGAUGCACGUCAUUAGAAUUCUAACCUCUUCUCUGAGAGUGUUUUUCUCCAUGCCUAUGAGAGGACAUAAGCGUACCAUAAUGUUAAUCAAAUCCAGUGUGUUCCAAAACACUUUUCCGUAGCCAGAACGACCUGCUUACAGCAGCCUUGCUAGUCAGUGGCUGAUAGGCAUAGGUUUAAUAAAAAUGGCUAGCUUUGAAAACAUAAAAAGGCAAAUGUUAAAACUGUUUUAAAUUGUACAGCAGAAAAAUAAAGUUAAAAAGUUCUGUUUUCACUCAA